AACCCGGCUGCACGAAGCCGGAAUCGCUAGUAAUCGCAGAUCAGCAUGCUGCGGUGAAUACGUUCCCGGGUCUUGUACACACCGCCCGUCACACCAUGGGAGUCGGAAAUGCCCGAAGUCAGUGGCCCAACCGCAAGGAGGGAGCUGCCGAAGGCAGGUCCGGUGACUGGGGUGAAGUCGUAACAAGGUAUC
rnacentral:rRNA from 1 species